AGUUACAUGCUUUCUAUACAAUUGGGGUGCUCAGGCAGUGCAACCAAAUUCCUAUUCUAGAUAGCAAUAUCGACACCAUGUAAUGUGUUGCUGCCAAUCUUUCCUUUCCAGGAGAACAUGUAGUCCCUGUUAGUUACUUCAGCUGCCUCUGCUCAGGAAGGUGGAUCUCAUGGAAAGUGGUCAUUGGUUUGGACAGCUCGUGCAUUAUGACUGUCGUUCUCAUUUCCAGACUUUCACUCUUGAGAUUAUCUGUGAGUAUUCCAGCAUUCCAAGUCUCAAAAUUUGAAAUUUGUUUUCAGUGACCAGAAAGAUAAUGAUCUGCAGGGUGUGAAUCACCUGCCUGAAGGAAGUGAGCAAGCCUAUUUUUAGGCUACCUUGACAAGCUUCAUGAACAGACAGUAUCUAAAAGGAAUUGGUUCAGUCACUGGUGCUGCUGCCCAAAGACACCUCUCCUGACACUGGUGCCCAACAACCUUCAUGCAUCUGUCACUCGUGUGCAGAUUCUUGACCAGAACUCAGGGGAGAGGAAGAAUAUUGAUCUGCAAAUGAAGACACUGAUGCAUCUAGCCGAAUCCUGCAUGUUUGGACAACUGAAAAAUGAUCACAUCAGAAAUAAGAAUCGGUUACGCAUAAAAGAUCCUGAUGUGAAAGCAUAUCCUCUGAGAAACAACAACUUUACUCUCAUAAAUCUAUUCGUGUGUAGAAACUCGAA